UGAGACCAAGUGAUGUGGUUUACUCCCCAAUUAAAUUUACAAACAUGAAAUCCAAGUAUGCUGCCACCAACCCAGGUGAUGCUGAAAUUGAGGUGAAAAAACAAAAGAAGCCAAAACGAAAAGAAGGAAAGAGCAUUGAGGGAG